rnacentral:rRNA from 1 species
CCUACGGGAGGCAGCAGUGGGGGAUAUUGCACAAUGGGCGAAACCCUGAUGCAGCGACGCCGCGUGAGUGAAGAAGUAUUUCGGUAUGUAAAGCUCUAUCAGUAGGGAAGAAAAUGACAGUACCUGACCAAGAAGCCCCGGCUAACUACGGGCCAGCAGCCGCGGUAAUACGUCGGGGGCAAGCGUUAUCCGGAUUUACUGGGUGUAAAGUGAGCGUAGGCGGUUAUGUAAGUCUGGAGUGAAAGCCCGGGGCUCAACCCCGGGACUGCAUUGGAAACUGUGUGACUGGAGUACAGGAGGGGCAGGCGGAAUUCCUGGUGUAGCGGUGAAAUGCGUAGAUAUCAGGAGGAACACCGGCGGCGAAGGCGGCCUGCUGGACUGAAACUGACGUUGAGGCUCGAAAGCGUGGGGAGCAAACAGGAUUAGAUACCCUAGUAGUC